UACGAAGGGGGCUAGCGUUGCUCGGAAUUACUGGGCGUAAAGCGCACGUAGGCGGCUCUUUAAGUCGGAGGUGAAAUCCUGGAGCUCAACUCCAGAACUGCCUUCGAUACUGAAGAGCUCGAGUCCGGGAGAGGUGAGUGGAACUGCGAGUGUAGAGGUGAAAUUCGUAGAUAUUCGCAAGAACACCAGUGGCGAAGGCGGCUCACUGGCCCGGUACUGACGCUGAGGUGCGAAAGCGUGGGGGAGCAA
rnacentral:rRNA from 1 species